AUGUUGUAGAGUUUGAAAAACUCUCCAACUUUCAUUUUGGGCAUUUCUUCAUUAGGGUUUUAUAUCAACGGGAAAUUUUGUUUUACAUACAGGCCCUUGCAGUUUUCUGUAUUUACGUAUAGGUCCUUGGAGAAAACUGUUCAUCCUUCUCCUCUGUUCCCUUAUCUCUGGCGCCCUUAUCUUCUUUUCCACCGGUGGCAGCAGCACCAAAACCCAUCUUUUCUUCCUCUGUUCUUCUUCCCGUUGACCCC
rnacentral:lncRNA from 1 species